GAUGAACGCUGGCGGCGUGCCUAACACAUGCGAGUCGAGCGGAGAUUUGUGGAGUACUUGUACGAAACGGAUCUCAGCGGCGGACGGGUGAGUAACACGUGAGCAAUCUGCCUUUCACUGGGGAAUAACACUGGGAAACCAGUGCUAAUACCGCAUAAUGUCCAUGGUUGGCAUCGACUGUGGACCAAAGGAGUAAUUCGGUGAAAGAUGAGCUCGCGUCCGAUUAGGUAGUUGGUGAGGUAACGGCCCACCAAGCCUACGAUCGGUAGCCGGACUGAGAGGUUGAACGGCCACAUUGGGAAUGAGACACGGCCCAGACUCCUACGGGAGGCAGCAGUGGGGAAUAUUGGGCAAUGGGGGAAACCCUGACCCAGCAACGCCGCGUGAAGGAUGAAGGCUUUCGGGUUGUAAACUUCUUUGAUCAGGGACGAAAAAAAUGACGGUACCUGAAGAACAAGCCACGGCUAACUACGUGCCAGCCGCCGCGGUAACAC
rnacentral:rRNA from 1 species